rnacentral:rRNA from 1 species
UACGAAGGGGGCUAGCGUUGUUCGGAAUUACUGGGCGUAAAGCGCGCGUAGGCGGUUUGUACAGUCAGGUGUGAAAUUCCCGGGCUCAACCUGGGGGCUGCACUUGAUACGUAUGAACUGGAGUGGGGAAGAGGGUCGUGGAAUUCCCAGUGUAGAGGUGAAAUUCGUAGAUAUUGGGAAGAACACCGGUGGCGAAGGCGGCGACCUGGUCCUUGACUGACGCUGAGGCGCGAAAGCGUGGGGAGCAAACAGG